GUGCUCAACAUAUACUAAAAUUGGAACAACGCAGAGAAGAUUAGCCUGGCCCCGCACAAGGAUGACAUGCAAAUUCCUGAAGUGUUCCAUAUUUUU
rnacentral:snRNA from 1 species